UAUAAUUAAACACGUAAAAAAAAAACCUUUUACAUGUAUUAAAGCAAUAUUCUGAAAAUGGAUAUCAGAGCAUAGGCGUUGACUAUGACGGAAGGCUCAAAGCUCAGGAAAAUAUUGCUCAUGCAGAAAUUGCAAUCCUGUUCCAAACUACAUGACAAUGGAUACAUCCACUAGAUGAUGGGCAACAUUUUUUUGAAAUUAUAAUGAAAUCUUGUUAAUAUCAUGUGAUUCUUUCAUGGCAACCUUGAUAAUUUAUUAAUAUGGUCAUUUGAAUAAAUACCAAUAUGAUGAAACUGUGCACAUUCAUUGAGGAAGCAUCCUUAACACUCUAGAUGAGAGAUUAAUUUAGCAUCCUGCUAAGGAGGAGUGUUAUAUUCUCUUUUUCAUGCUUAGGUAAAUAAGAA
rnacentral:misc_RNA from 1 species